CGGCGAGCUGGGGGAGGGGACCGGGCUGGGGGAGGGGACCCCGGGCCGAGGAGCCAGCACCGGUGGUGAGGGCGGCUGUGGGUAACUGUGAUUGUGUGGUUGUCAUUGUGUGUCUGUGUGUGGUUGUGUAACUGUCAUCGUGUGGCUGCAUGACUGGGAUUGUGUGGUUUCGGGAGGUCCGCGGGUGUGUGUGUGUGUGUGUCACUGUCAUUGUGCGGCUGUCGUUGUGGGUGUCACUCUGAUGGUUUGUGUGUGUGUGUCUGGCUAUGCUGUGACUGCCAUUGGCCCCCCGUGUGGCUGCUGUCUCUGUGUGUGACUGUCUUGGUGUUCGUGUGGUUGUGUGCAUAGGACUGUCAUUGUGUGGCUCCUGUUGUGUGUUCAUUCUGAUGGUGUGUAUGUGUGUGUGGCUGUGGUCGUGCGCUGUGCACCUUUCUUGUGUGGCAUUGUGAGUCUGUGUCAUGGUCCAUGGAUGUGGCCAUGUGGUUGUAGAUGGCACCUUGUCUCUCCCCUGUGACUGUUGGUGUGAAUAAGAGACUGUUAGUGUGUGUGUGGCUGUCGCUGAGUGCCUUGUAAUUGGGGGUGUGACGCUGUGAUGAGUUCUGUGACCCCCAUUGUGUGCGGUGACUCUUUUCUGUGACUCUUAAGUGUGUUGCAGGCCUGACUGUGUGUCCCUGACUGUAGCGGUGUGGGGGCUUGUGUGGGACUGUGAUGUGUGUAGGGUCUCCUGACAUGUCUCUCUCUGUUUGGCCUGGGGUGGGGGUGGGGACUUGUUUGAUCUGUUUGGUGUCUCUGACAGGCUAUGAGCCCACUGUGUGUGAGUAUGCAGUGACAUGUGUUGUGUGUGUUGGACACCUGUCUGAACAAGGGGGCCCCUCUUGUUUACUGCAAAGUGGCGCCCAGCACAGCGCCUGGAAGUCGGCAGGUGCUCGGUCUUCACUGUGGGAUGGGUGAACGCUAUGCCAUGGUUGUGUGUGU
rnacentral:lncRNA from 10 species